rnacentral:ncRNA from 1 species
CAGAGCCGUAUGAGGUGAAAAUCUCAUGUACGGUUUUGUAGAGUGACAAUAAGGGUUCCCUAACUGAGGUCAGGCAGACACGGCUAAGUCAAAAAAAUCCUAACUGCUAAAGUCAAACUGAUAGUAGUAGCACAUCCAUAC